AUAAAAAUUUAUGUUUUUUAAAAUUUAUUAUGAAUUUAUUUUACAUACAAAUUUUAGUGUUAAUUUUUAAUUAUUUAAAUAAUAUUUAAAUAUUAGUGGUAGUAAUUGAUUUUAAAGAUUUAAGAAAUUAAGAUUUAGUAAUAUAAAAAUUAAUAACUAAUUUUGUGCCAGCAGUUGCGGUUAUACAAAAAUUAAGUUAAAUUAUUUCAGUAUAUAAUAAAUAAAAUAUAAAUUAAAAUAAAUAUUAAAUUAUUAGGUAAAAUUUUAAUUUAAUUAAAUUUUAUAAAAAUUUUAUGAAUUAGUAAAUUUUAUUAUAAACUAGGAUUAGAUACCCUAUUAUUAAAAAUUUAAAUUAUAAUACUAAAAUAGUAAAUAUAAGAUAUUGAAACUUAAAUAAUAUGGCGGUAUUUUAGUUCAUUUAGAGGAAUCUGUCUAAUAAUUGAUAAUCCACGAAUAAAUUUACUUAAUUUAUUAUUUUAUAUAUCGUUGUUAAAAAAAUAUUUUUUAUUAAAAAUAAUAUUUCAAAAUUAAAAUAAAAAAUUAAUUCAGAUCAAGAUGUAGAGUAUAAUUAAGAAUAUGAUGGAUUACAAUAAAUAUAUUUAAAUGAAUAAUUAUUUGAAAUAUAAAUUUGAAGGUGGAUUUAAAUGUAAUUUUAUUUAGUUUAAUAAAAUGAUUAAAAAUUAAAAUAUGUACAUAUUGCCCGUCACUUUCAUUUAAAAAUUGGAAUAAGUCGUAACAAAGUAGAGGUACUGGAAAGUGUUUCUAGAAUGAU
rnacentral:ncRNA from 1 species